GGAAAUAGUGAGCACAAUAUGGUGUCUUUUGGAAAUGCACAAGAGGAUUGCUAAAACAUAUCAUUUUAAAAGUCCAAUUUCAAUAAAAUAAGGGCAGGUUUACAACUCAUUGACUAGCAUAAAUGGAUAAAUUGAAUAUCUACAAAUAUACAAAUUAAAACAAAUGUGGCUUAAUAGAAUGGUAAAAAAUUAAAAAUAGGAAACUGACAUUUAAAGCAUUUAAAUCAGAGGCAUUGUGUAUAUACAAUACAAGGAAGUCAAUAAAGAUUGAUAAUUGAUUAAAUAGGCUAAACUAGAAAAUGAAAAGGAGAUAGCCAAGAAAGCAUGAUCAAUCUCAAAAAGUCUGUUACUGGUGUUGUGGCAAGGCACAUAAACAAUCUAUGAGAGUAGUCAAAUAAUGGUAGAGAAGGUGAGGAACCAGAGAGGAAGCAGGCAUACGUUGGUCAUCUAAGAAAGUAUUCAGGAAUGAGAGCCAGGGUCAGGAAGCUGCAAUAGAAGACAAAAACAAUCCGCAAGAGCAG